rnacentral:rRNA from 1 species
GGGGAAUAUUGCGCAAUGGGCGGAAGCCUGACGCAGCAACGCCGCGUGCGGGAUGACGGCCCUUCGGGGUUGAAACCGCUUUCAGCAGGGACGAAGCGUAGUGACGGUACCUGCAGAAGAAGCACCGGCCAACUACGUGCCAGCAGCCGCGGUGAUACGUAGGGUGCGAGCGUUGUCCGGAAUUAUUGGGCGUAAAGAGCUCGUAGGUGGUGAUCGCGUCGAAAGUGAAAUCUCAGGGCUUAACCCUGAGCGUGCUUUCGAUACGGGUCGACUAGAGGAAGGUAGGGGGAGAAUGGAAUUCCUGGUGGAGCGGUGGAAUGCGCAGAUAUCAGGAGGAACACCAGUGGCGAAGGCGGUUCUCUGGACCUUUCCUGACGCUGAGGAGCGAAAGCGUGGGGAGCAAACAGGCUUAGAUACCCUGGUAGUCCACGCCGUAAACGGU